UACGUAGGGCGCAAGCGUUGUCCGGAAUUAUUGGGCGUAAAGAGCUCGUAGGCGGUUUGUCGCGUCUGCUGUGAAAGCCCGGGGCUCAACCCCGGGUCUGCAGUGGGUACGGGCAGACUAGAGUGCAGUAGGGGAGACUGGAAUUCCGUGGUGUAGCGGUGAAAUGCGCAGAUAUCAGGAGGAACACCGAUGGCGAAGGCAGGAUCAUCCUGGGUCUGAUUGACUGACGCUGAGGAGCGAAAGACAUGGGGGAGCGAAACAGGAUUAGACUACCCCCGUACGUCC
rnacentral:rRNA from 1 species